GCCCCCUUCUGAUCUCCAAAGGUGCUAGACAUAGGCAUACACACACACACACACACACACACAUUUAAAAAAGUAUUAUGAAUGACUGGAUUGUUAGUUUUUCUCUGCUGCAUUUUGGGGGAAAUGAUGUACUCAAACUUGACCAAGGUAGAUAACUAUGUUAAAUACGAAGGUACUCGGCCUAACAAUAGCACAUGGUGAUCUUACCUGUCUGUUCUCUUGAGUGCCAGAUCACCAGGGCUAGGACAGAGAAACAGGGUGCCUACUGCUCUUCUUGGAGUAAGGGCGGUACUGUUUCCUGCUGCUGUGUCUGGGUGUGUCCCUCCAUCCUGGAGGAAUGUGAGAGUUCAUGUAUUUUGCAAUGGCUGCUAUGUGAAGGACUCCAAUUUCAGUUAUGACAAGCAACUUGAGGCUGUUUAGUUCCUGACUUCUUCCCCAGACACUUGUUUUCCUCUGUCUUGAGCUCUGUGGGUCACUGCUGUUUUACACUCUGGGCAAUGAAGGCUUUGUGCCUAAGAUUUAUAAGCUAUGAGAAUGUUCGCAGGAAACCAGGGGGGAAAUACUGGUGGCAGACUACAAAGAGCAAAAAUAUUUAAAUGCCCAGAAAGCAAAUUAAAUACUUUUGGACUUAAUUGUUAAAAGCCUUGGAAACCAUGUGAGUGAGUGUUCACUGGGUUUGUAAGGACACUGGUUGUCAAGGAAUUCAAUGUCUGGCCACCAGUCAAGGAAAUCUGCGAAGUCUUAGAGAUUUGGAGUGAGUCUAUACUUUAAUGUGUUGUUUGAUGGUGCUCAGAAGGCCUAGAAAUUUAAGCCACAUCCUUCCCCUUUGAUUUUGACUAGUCACCUCAUCGUUUUUAAGCCUGUUUUUAAAAGGUUGUUCUGAGUGAAGCCUUUUGCUUCCUGAGAUUGGGCUGGCUCUCCAUCCUUUGGACCCUUAGUUUCUUCUGGAACUUUGGAGCAUCUAUCUAUCUCCCUCAUCCCAUACCAGUAUUCAGAGCAUUUAUUGAGUAAUAUACUGAGAUUGGGAUUUCUUUCUUUCUUUCCUUUUUUUUUUUUUUUUUUUUUUUUGGCUGUUCGGUUCUUGGUGUAGAUUCAAUGUAGUUUUUCUUCAUCUGGCAGGUUACUGUCAACAUGAGUCAUAGGCCUUAUCUUUACAUCUAGUCCUUGGAUGUGUUCAGUUAACAGACCAGAUACAAGCCAUGGCACCUGCACGCAGCUUGGGGUCAGGCUGCCCCAUGACAAGGUGACAGAAUUUAAAAGGAGGCCUACAGGCAUCCGGUGAAGUUCUCUGUGUUCUAGCCAGUGAGGGCAGAAUGAAUGCCCUGGCUGAGUCAGAACUGCCAGGCCCCAAGCACCCUGUUCAAGCUGCCAAAUAGAGUUAUUAGGAACAGCCAUUCCCACCAGGAAAGAAAACAAUGUCUUUGUAGUUCUGAGAUGGCGUAUGUCCGUAUAUUUUUUCUGUAGCCAGUCUGGUGCUGCAUGGAACAUGUAGAAAAAGACAAGUCCAAGUGUCAGGUUGGGUCUAAUAGCUGAGGCCUAUAUUUGAGCAAGUUACAAAGUCCAUUUGAGCCUCAUUUUGCACAUUAGGAUAGGAACAAAACCUAGUUCUCCACUAUGAAAUGUAAUGAUGUCCAGGCAUUCAUAUUUCAUGACCCCUGCCUGGUACAUACUAGGCAUGAUGAGUUAAGCUGGCACAUACUGAGCAUAAUAAAUUAAGCCGACUUCUUCAUGGAUGGUAGACUAGGCACUUGACUGUCUUGCAUCCAGAAGCACCUUGACAGGACUAUGGAAGUUAACUUGAGUUGUCAGACCUUGAAGUCAGAUAGAAUGCAGUCGCCAAAGAAAUCAGCAAACUGAGUCAGACUUGUUAGUUCUACCUAAGAAAUUCACCCAUUUAGCUUCAGGAAUAGCUGAUUGCAGGAUUCAAACAUCUUCAUAAGUCCCUCCCAUUCUUAGCUUUCUUCACGGUUGCCUCCCUGUAGUGGAGUAUUUGUGUACACUGUGUGAAGAUGGAUCACUGAGUGGUUUAAUAAAGAUUUGAAUGACCAGGAGAGAAUAGGCAGGACUUGCUGGCAGAGAGGAACUCCAGGUGAAUCUAGGCAUGCAAGAGAUGCCAGAAAUACUGAGGAAGUUGGACAUAUGGUAUAGAGGAGAGGUAACCAAGCAGAGUGUAGACUAAUAAAAGCAGGUUAAAUUAAGUUGUGAGAGCUAGUUGGAGAAAAACCUAAGCUAAGGCCAAGCUUUCAUAGUGAAUAUAAGUCUCUGUGUCCUUAUUUGGGGCUGAUGGCCAAAAAGAAAGUCCAACAACAUUUGGUGCUUAAUGGACAGAGAAGUUACAACAGCCAGCCAGAGUCGCUGUUGGCUGCUGCUCGGCUGGGAUUCCAGAAAGCAGGGGAGGGUAAAUGUAGCUCUGAGGUGGAUGACCACCAGCAUGAAGCUAGGCUCUCACAGAACCUGAGUGGGGGAGGUGGGGCGUGAGUCACCGGCACUACUCCAGGUUGUAGCCUAACAGUUUAAGAUUUGUCUCCUGCCACCAGAGAACACUGCACGUGCAAGACUGCAGGCAUGCAAAAAGUCAGGUCCAGACUUGGAAAAAAAACUCUAAGCAGGUUUAAAAUGUUUCAAACUAUGCUUAGGUACUAAAGAAAGAAAAGAAAAUGAGUAUAGAUAGAAAGUAAAAUAAUGUAAAAAGAAUAAGCCACAUGAAAAAGGGAAAAACAUAGGGCAUCUGAAUCCUGUAUGGUGUUUGGUUGACUUUAAAUUUUUUAAAUGCUAACGAACAACAACUACAAAUGACAGCUGCUGAGAGAUACUGGAUUGUAGAGAAAAAACAAAAACUACUGAAUUAAUCCAGCCUGUAUGUUCUAAGGAUUUCAUAACUUUAGAGUGGAAGUCAGAAAAUGUGUUGUGUUGGGGGAGAGGCUGUGAUUUAGUUUCCACAGUAAACAAAAAGCUAUGGAUUUUUUUUCUGAAGUUAAUAAAGACUGGAUUUGACUGGGGGAGACCUCCUAAAAAUCUUGGCUAUAGACAUAAAAGAAAAACUACAAGACAGAUGAUGUAUAAGCUGAUCCCUCUACAUGGAACAGCUCUGAGACUGGGUGAGACAUGAUAACUCUUGUUGACUACAGAGUCCUCAUGACUUAUUAUUAUGGUCCUUUCAUGUGACACAGAUGGAGCUUUAUAUUUACAGUUUGGUUAUGCAGUUCAAAUUGACUUAUAAAGUUAAUAGAUGCCUUUAACCUGCUAGUCACAGAGCAGAGAAUCAUCUUUAGCAGAUUUGUGUACACUAUACCUUCUAUACUUGUGUUAAUGAAGAUAUUUAUGUUACCUUUAAAAGUUUGUGUGUUUUCAAGGGGAAAAAAGGACCAGAAACCAUUAAAGGAAGCAAGUAGCCCAUGUGAUCGAGCCUCUCAGAAUGCCUCUGUGCAGUUUUCUCAAAAAUCUGCAUCUAGAAUAACUUCAAAGCUGCUAGCUGAGAUGGUCCAGCCUCACAGACUACUCCAGCGAGGACUUCAGAUAAGCCCUACACUUUCCCUUCACUGGAUAACAGCUAGCUCUCUCAGGACUUGACCAUUAUCUCAAUCUUCUUGGGUGCCCUAAAGGUGCUGUUGCCCCCAGACAAUGGGAAACAGUCUAGAGAGCACAACACCCACAUUCCCAAGAGGUGGGAUAGGUGAUUUUUGGUCAUUCAGUGGAUUAUGGAUGUUUGUCAUUGUUUAUGGGGGGUUUGCUUACAAAUUAUUACUGGUCAUGGUCAGCAGAGGAGAUUCCCAUUCUGAAAAGAAAAUAGGGAUGGUAGGAUAAAAGAUAGAUUGUUGAACCUGACUUUAAACUAAAAAAAUUUUUAAAUAUUAUACAUUGGUAUGGAUUUUUGUAUACUGACACAAAUUUAAGAUUAUUUUUGUUAUACUGUAUAUAUGUUUCUACUCUUGUUUGAGGUAUUGUACCUAUGCAGCUCAUUUGAUAAUGUAAUGUAAAUUUCUAUUCCUUGAAAGUUAUUAUCACAAAGUAUUUAGGAUAAUUAAGAAAUAAUAAUAAUACUUAGUUAUCUAACAGUCAAAUUUGUGGCCAUGUUAGGUGUGUUUUCAAGGUUAAACAGAAAUAUAUUUUAGAUACAUAAGUGACCCUCAAACACUUCAAAGAUCUACAUAUAUGGCAUUUAAGAUGUUUUUAAUAACAUAAGGCUUUUCAUGACAGCGAAAUACAUCUGCUCCUGGAAGCACCAAUUUACUUCAAAAACGAAUAAUGGGCAUUGAAGAAGCUCCAUAUGGAGUUACUUUCAUUGUGGCAAAGUUAGUUACUUGGCAAGAAACUGCCCUUACCUCAACUGCUAACAGUAUGUUGUCCAAAUUGGACAAGCAGGACACAAAAGAAAACAACUUCUGAACUUUGCCAAGACAGAAAGAAGAGCAGCCAUGUGGAUGAUGACCUACGUGAAGAAGUGGCCAUGACCAAGAUGUGGGAGCAUCAUGUGGAAUGUGGACCAGGAGGAAGCAGAACCUGACUGGAGGAAGAGAGCAUCCUCAUACAGAUGUCAGCUGAUGCUUUCCAUGGUGGCUCUCCCUUUCUCAACUUCAGGAAAACAAUUUAUGAGUGGGAGAGGUGGCAGAGGAAGGUGCCCUACAGACUUAUUACCUACAGCUGAAUCUUAUGAAAGCCUAUUCUCAAUUGAAGUUCCUUCCUUCCAGGCAGUAGGGUAUUUUCUUAAUUAGUGAUUGGUGGGGGAGGGUCCAGCCCAUUGUGGGUGGGGUCAUCCCUGGGCUGGUGGUUCUGGGUUCUGUAAGAAAGUAGACUGAGCAAGCCAAUGAGCAGCACCCUCCCAUGACCCGUCUCCAGGUUCAAACCCUAUUUGGGCUCCUGUCCUGGUUUCCUGCAACGAUGGAUUACAAUGUGCAAGUCUAAGCCAAAUAAACCCUUUUGUCUACA